GGGGAUAUAGCUCAGUUGUAGAGUACUUGCUUUUCAAGCACAAGGCCCUGGGUUCAAUCCCCAUCAUCACUC
rnacentral:tRNA from 1 species